GUGUUCUGAAAAGCAAUAACCUGAAAAUGAUACUUUGCAGAUCAACUUUGUCUGCGUGUCUCAAUCUGCUGAUAUCACUCCACCCAGGAGUCACUAUCCUGUCCACGUCCUGCCCUGCAAGCACCUCUGAGUCAUCAUCUGCUCCCAAUGACCUACCUGGGCUUUGCACCUUGACUGGUUGGAUACUGGCCUCUCUGGGAUACCUCAUCCCAACUGGAACAUCGCCGCCCGCCUGCAGUGUGUCACAGCCUUCCUCCAGCUUCUUCCUCCAAGCUUCAUCCUUCCUGCCUUCAAGGACCAGGGGAUCAGAUCUGUCUUGCAACCCAAGACAGUUUGUGGGGCAAGUAAAGACAAGAGGAGCUGUGCAAAGGUGGGUAUGACUGCAGGAGUACCCAUUUCAACACCAGCACCUCCUCCUCCCUACCCUUUUCUGCUGGCCUCCUUUCACUUGCUUCCCACACCAACAUAAGCCUACGUGACCUAAAUCUUUCUUUAUUUAGGUGAUACUCUAUGCAAAACCCAUCCACACAUUUAAAAGAUUUCUCAGAAGGUGAGACCUUACAUGUCUUGUGACUGGGGCAGGGAACAAGAUUCUUAAGCAGUGCCACUAAGAAAAAAUGUAAAACAAAGGGAAACUGGAGUUCUGACUCACACCUGCCUGCAAGCGAGGCAGAGGAUGGCUCUUAUGUGAGGAAAUUUACCACUUUGAAAGCCUGGGAAAUCAAUCGGAAGACAUGCUGGGAGUAUAGGAAAUGACAAAAGGAUCUCUCUUAUCAGACCAGGGACACAGGUGAAAGGAAAUUUUAAGCUGCAAAAAAGUCUUUGUUUCUGUAAUUUAUUUUCCCCUACGACAUGCAGUGAACAUGGCCCAGGAAUUCCCAAAGGGGAAAAUACAUCAAGAUUCAGAAAAAGACUAAAUGGAUAUGGACAGCAAGAAAAUCCACAUUUAUUAGAAUGAAUGGUGGUAAAAACGUCAGCAGGUAUACUAGAUGCAGGACACGCUUGAGUCAUUAGAUCCAGCUGGAGAGGAGAGGAGGAGGGUGGGAAGGCAGUUCCAGCUCCAGCCCUUCUCCAGCCUCCAUCAGAGUUUCCUAUGGCAGAA
rnacentral:lncRNA from 1 species